CCAGCAUUUCCGAGCCAGAAAUGGUGAGAAUCGCGGUCCGGGGCAGCCGGCAGCCGGCAGGGCUGCGUUCGAAAACAUCAUCCGAGUGUACUCAGGUAUCAUUUUAUUCUUGUUUAACAUUCGGUGAACAGCAAGGAUAAAAUGAUACCCGGGGGCAUUCGGGUGAUGUUUCUGAACAUAGCCCAUUGUGUGUGACUGUGUGGCAGUGCGUUCGCCAUUGUUUAUAUUGUCUGUCGAAUGUUUAUUAAGACGUUUAUAUUGUCUGUUAUAUCUUUUAUUUUAUUAAACAAGAUACUUUCAUCGUAAAAAAAAGAAAGAUAGCGAGUGCGUAUUAGUAGAAUUUAUUAACGAGGAUUAUAAAGUCGCAGUAGGCUACUGGUCGUGGCUUCAAAAUAAGACAUUACGAAAUAAAGAAACACUACAAAAAGUUAUCGAUGCAAAAGAAGAAGUUGCAAUUAAUUGGCCCGUAAAUUGUGAAAUUGCUCCAGCAUUAAAGAUGCAAAGAAAAGUACGAAAUUGCUCAUGGAAAUCCCACGUUGUACAUAUUUUGUCGUUUGGAGAAUGGACUGAAAUGUGUACACAGUGCGAUAACGUAUUAAAAUUUGAAAUUCCAAACCCAUCAAAAAGUGAAAGAAAAGUGAUAAAACGAAAAAAUUGUGACAUGAAAACAAAUUCCGAAGAUGAAGACUCUAUUGAAAAUGACUUUAAAAAAAAUCGAACGGAAAAAAAGAAAACUUCGAAAUUACGAGAAACUGCCAAAAAAAAGUAGAAAAGAACAUUGUAGAAGCAUUGAAUAUUAAGAAAGAUAAAUUUCAAGAUGAUAAUACCCUGACAGACUCAUCCAAUAAUUCAAGAUGAUUGACGAACGAGUAUCAAAACACGAUAUGUCAAAGACAAAUCUUUUGCACAAGUAUCAUCAGGAAGUGAAGGAAUUAAAAGAUGAGAUUUUUCGAUUGAAAAAAAUUAUAAAGUAUUCGGAAGAUAUUCAACAUAUAGACAAAUAUCAUAAAAAAAUAUUUUUCAGAGCAAAAGAUAUUGAAGAAAAAUUAAAAUGUUUAGAAAAAGAAAUCAAUAAAAACACAAAGCAUAUUAUGUCCAGAGAAAAACAGUUCACAGAAUGAUGAAUGCCUGAAUCCAAUGGAUAAGGAGUUUAUGAUUACAAAUUCUGGGAUUACCAAUGCUGAUAUAAUAAAAAAUACUAAAAUUGAAUAUCAACCCUCACAUACAUCUGAAAUAAAUGAAAACAUUGCUUUUAAUGAAAGCGGUCUUCUUAAUAAAGACAGUAAUAAUGAAAAUAAAGAAAAUUCGACAGGUGAAAUAAUCCGAAAAGGUGAUAUCUGGAGGGAGAUAUUUUGGAUUCAAACAUAUCACAAAUACUCAACUGAGCAAGGUUAAUGACAGCAGCGUUUCGAAGCUAACUAGUGAUCUUCUCAGUUUGGUUUAUGAAAAAACGAAGUUAAGAAACUCCAGUUUGACUGGAUCUAUAGCCAAUGCAAAUAAAUCUUUAAAUCCGGAUAAAAAAUCAACCGAGAAAUUAGAUCAUGUUCGAAUGAAAGCUGUAGAAAAUUUUAUUUACGAGAAAUUCGGCAAGAUGACAAUACAAAAUUGUUCCGUAGUGCCGUUCGAAGCAAGUGCAACAAUGCUAAGAAAAAAGUGACAUCCGUCAAUUCAAUUCAAUAAUCUAAAACAUUCAAUUUUACAAUCUGUUAAAGUCAUCCAACUCAAAGAUUCUGAGGCCGAUAUUUAUAAUCAUUAUUUAAGCAAUUGUUUCGCGAAAUCCAACUUAU
rnacentral:lncRNA from 1 species